UACGUAGGCAGCGAGCGUUGUUCGGAAUUACUGGGCGUAAAGCGUGCGUAGGCGGUGCCUCAAGUUUGGUGUGAAAUCUCCCGGCUCAACCGGGAGGGUGCGCCGAAAACUGAGGUGCUCGAGUGUGGGAGAGGUAAGCGGAAUUCCUGGUGUAGCGGUGAAAUGCGUAGAUAUCGGGAGGAACACCUGUGGCGAAGGCGGCCCCCUGGUUGGAUACUGACGCUGAGACGCGAAAGCGUGGGGAGCAAACAGG
rnacentral:rRNA from 1 species